rnacentral:rRNA from 1 species
UACAGAGGGUGCGAGCGUUAAUCGGAAUUACUGGGCGUAAAGGGCGCGUAGGCGGUGUAUUAAGUUAGAUGUGAAAUCCCUGGGCUUAACCUAGGAACUGCAUCUGAUACUGGUACGCUAGAGUGCAGUAGAGGGUAGUGGAAUUUCCGGUGUAGCGGUGAAAUGCGUAGAUAUCGGAAGGAACACCAGUGGCGAAGGCGACUACCUGGCCUGUUUCUUGACGCUGAGGCGCGAAAGCUAGGGGAGCAAACGGG